GGAUGAUGAUGAUGAUGAUCAUGAUGAUGAUGAUGUUGAUGAUCAUCAUCAUCAUUGUCAUCAUGCUUU
rnacentral:miRNA from 1 species